AAGGAGGGUUCCGCGGCUCCGGCAGGGCGCGCAGCCGCAGCUGCCCGUCCUGGGGUCCGGGGGCGUGCGGGAAGAAAGCUCUGGCGCUGAGGUGGGGUGAGGUGGGCCAGGAAGGGGGUACCUUUGAGACUCUGAAAUUCUCGCUCCAGCUUCUUGCGGAGCUCCAUUUGCUCCAGGAGCAGUUUUUGCAAUUCGUCUGCGAAGGGCCGAGAGUGUGAGGUUCUCGAUAUCUUUCUCCACUAGCUGAGUUCCUGUGACAUCCAAGGUGAGCGCGUCUUCACCUGGGAUACAAGGGCAGGCAAUAAACCGAGUUUCAAGGAGAAGCAAAGAAACCGUGACCCCGAUACGGCCAGAGCUGCUACGGUCGGGGCGCCCGAGCCCUAAUUAAAAGCGUUGUGGCCGCCGCUGCUUCCCGGCUGUGCGCCUGGGCUUGCACCCUCAGGCUUUGGGCCGGGCACCCCCUCCCCCGCGCGCGGUCUGCUCAUCCCGCGCUCCACGCCCCCUCCCCAGCCCCUCGGAAAAGAACAAGACGAGCAGCCGAGCCCACCAGGGACGAGCGACCUACAUCGCGCGCAGAUACUGGGGCACCGCGAGCGCGCGUGGCCGCCGGGUCUGCCCGCGCCGCCCCCGCCGAGAACGCGGCCCAGGCUGCGAGCCGCGCGGGGUGGCGGCGGGGGAGACAUCCUUUCGGGUUCGGCCUGGCCGGAUUUCCGAGGCCCUCAGCCCCUCCUCUUCGAGCCACAGGGGCCCGGCGCACUUGCAGGUCUCCCCCGGGGUUGGGUCGCAGCCACCGCGGGCUCUUCGCAGGUAUCCAAGCGCGCAGCCAAGCUCCCGCACCCUCCGCCCUAACCUGGCGUGACCACAGAGGACCUCGAGGCCCCCAAAACUUGGCGAAUAAAUGAGAGGACUGGAAAGAGGUGCCAGGCGUGGUUUUAAAAAGGAUUUUAUGAGGUGUAUGUGAGCGUGUGUUGUGUGGUGGACAGGGAGGUUUGUUGUUAAGUGACCAAACGAUGGAAGUUGUUAGUUCUCGCUUAGCUUCCUUUCCCUUUCUUUCUUUUUCCUUCCCUCUCCCUGUUUUUCUCGCUUCCUCUGCCUCUCUUUUUCUCCUCUCGUCUUCCCUCGCAGCAGCACCCCCCCCCCCCCACACACACAGCCCUGUCCCUCCGCCCGCGGUCCCCGCGUCACAUUGGCCAGCGACCUCGGCAGGGGGGCUGAGGGGCGUUACCGUGGGCCUCGGGGGUGCAGAGGUAGGAGGCCGAGGGCCCCAGCGCCGCUGCCGCGCUCUUCACGUGCUCGUCCCGCUCUGGCGCGUACACCUGCGGCGGCCGAAAAUGACAGGCGGUUAGGGGUGUGCUUGCAGCGGCUCAGGGUCCCCCAGCCCUGGCCGCGGCGAGGGGGAGCCCUGAGAGGGAGGCGGAGGUCAGCUAGCCCGUGGGCCCCGAGGGCCCUGGGCGGCUGUGACGCACGCGGCGCAGCCUGCCGCCCUCGGAGGCCACAGCAACGUUGUAGUUUCAGGGUAAUUAUUAGCGCCCUCGAGAAAAUUAUCAGAAAGACAAAGCGGCUCUCAAGACAAGAGCUGUCCAAAGCCGCCCCCCCCCCACCCUUUGCCCACCUCCUUUUCGGCCUCUUCCCACCAGCCCACGCCCAGUCCCCGCAUAAAUGACGCUUUUUGCAUCCAGCUAAUGAUUCGUGUUUUAAUAGACCCAAUGGAAAUAAAUGUACAGGUGUGUGCACCCACUUUCAAAAGGCCAACGACUUCGGCUUAGUUGCACAGCUUCCACCCGAACCCGUGGUUCAGACAACUUGAGAGCCCCUCUCCCGCCCUGCACGCCAUCUACCAAAUGAACCCUGCGGUUCCCCAGGCCGGAGUUCAAAGGGACUCAGAAAACUACAAGUUGAGGUAGAGGAAGAUUCCGGAACCCCGUACUGCUGGGGCCCGGCUUGAGGGAGAGGCGGUUCUCUCCUCUCCUCACCAGCCCCUUCAUCCCCGGGACUCUGAUCUCCAUCUGGGCGAGUGUGCCACGGCCCGGCCUCGCAAGCGCUUUUCUCUGGCUUUGGGUCCCUUUUUCUGCUCCCCGUUCUUUCCCCAGAUCCCUUUUAUUUCUGUGUUACUGAGGUCCCGGCCUGUCUCUGCGCCCCCCCCCCCACCGGCCCCCGCUCCCAAUCAACAAAAACACUGCACACUCGUUUCUCAGGCCUGUCUCCCCCACCUCCGGAUUUUCUGAAACCCUCACUCACGGGGGCGAGGGGGUCCCAACAAGUUCCACAGCGCUGGGCCUACUCAGAGCGGCUGGGGCCUACCGCUCGCAUGCCUGCUCAGAACAUAAUCCCCGUCCCUAACUUGUCCAGUGCCUGCCUCACAUCCCGAAGGUGCCGAGGGGUAAGCGGGGAGGCGCCACCAGCAAGGCGGGCGCGGGGCUCACCUU